rnacentral:tRNA from 1 species
GGGCGACUAGCUCAGUGGGAGAGCGCUUCCUUCACACGGAAGAGGUCACAGGUUCGAACCCUGUGUCGCCCA